rnacentral:lncRNA from 10 species
CAUGGGAAUACCAUGCUUGCUUCCCCUUCACCUUCCAUCAUGAUUGUAAGUUUCCUGAGGCCCCUGCAGAAGCCAAAGCCUGUACAGCCCACAGAACUGGUUGCAGAACGUAUAAAAACACAUGAAAAAUGAUCACAACAGUACUUGGCACAUAGGAAGUACUCCGUAAAUGUUGGCUGAUCCACCACAAAAAAAAAAAAAGAAAGAAACCAACAACAAAAAAAAGAAUGAGAUCUUGUCAUUUGCAACAACGUGGAUGGAGCUGGAGGACAUUUAGUGAAAUAUGCCAGGACUCAGGCUUAUUGCUGUUUAUUUGUGGGACCCUGCUCUUUUGCUUGGAAACCAAGCAACCAGACUCUUCACUAAACCAACACCAACAGAUGAAGUUAGAAGGCUUGAAGCUCUUCCUCAGCCCCAGGCCUUUCUUCUUCUUCUUUUUUUUCCCCCCAGCAUUUGUGGAAUGUAAAGUUGACCAGAUGAACCAAAAUAAAUUUGUUUACCUGGCUUCUUAUGCUCAAGUGAACACCUUGUUCAUGCCUGUGAAACAUUACAAUCAAACUAGAGGGGCAACAAAGCUCCACAGCUCUGCACUCAGAAGGUUGGCUUUGUCCUGAGCUCUUAAGGUAAUAAGAUGUCCGAAUGCUGCCACAGUGCAUAAACCCAUGCUGCUUCCUUUUGCACUGUGUCCUUUGCAAGGACCAGAGAGCUCCUCAAACUCACCAGGAAGUACUGAGGAAUUUAGUGUUGCGUGCACUAACAGAUUCUUAGCAGGAAAUUAGAAGCGGUGAGUAAACUGCUUUUUGGUGAGUCAUCAGUUUCAAAAACACACCUUAUUUAUGAAACAAUCUGAAUAUUGGACGUACUAUGACUUCCUUCUAUUAAACACGGAAUUAAAAGACUAUUAAAUGCAUUCAUCUGUUUGGAUUCAGAUUUUCUCCAAAAUCAAUGUGCUCAUGGAAUCAUUGAUGUCUACCGGUUGCCUCACCUACUAGUGUCUGCUAAAGUGUUUUUGGUCUAAUGAGACAAUGUAGGGUUUCCUUUGGUUCUGAGGGCCAUACCUUGGCCCUAGGAAGUUGUUGGGCUGCAGUGACACAAUGAGCCAAAGGUGGAUAACAGAGCUUCCAUCUCAGCUUCAAGCCCUCACCACCUUAAACUCCACACUAGUUGGUCAUUUCAACUGUUUCCACCCAAUUCCAUGGCCACUUUCUUGCUCUAGUGAUUAGUAGAUUAUUAAUUCCAUUUUAUAAACACAUUCUUACUAGGAUGUCAGUGAAU